CUGUUGAGAAUGGUUAGUAAAGCAGGUUGUGCACUAAGCCUUGUUAACAUGGAUAUGUUCAUUGGAAAAGUUGACUUUUUAUUAUUUAGAGUCGUAGAGAUUUUCAGCACGGAAACAGAUCCCCUCAGUCCAACCUGUCCACGCCAACCAGAUAUCCUACAUUAAUCUAGUUCCCAUUGCCAGCACUAUAUCCCUCUACACCAUUCCUAUUCAUAUACCCAUCCAGAUACUUUUUAAAGGCUGUAAUUAUAUCGGCCUCCACCACUUCCUCUGGCAGCUCAUUCCAUACACACACCACCCUCUGCAUGGAAACAUUGCCCUUCAGGUAUCUUUUAUAUCUUUGUGGCCUCACCCCAAACCUAUGUCCUCGAGUUGUGAAGGUCACCCCAACACAGAGGAAAAGACUUAAAAACAUUGCUUUUCCAUUUGUUUGGCUGCUCAAUCAAAUAUCGAGCCACAUAGGGGAAAAAAUAUCGCUCUGCCCUUUUUGAUCUCCAAUAGACAUUUGGAAACUGAAAAUCUGUCAAUAACACCAGCAUUGCUACAGAGCAUAUUGUGUACACUCCUCGGUGUCAACAAGCAAGGCACAUGUUUGCCAGUGUCACCAAAACAUUGGGCGUGUUCCUCGCUGUCAGCAGAAAAGGGCCGAAACCUACUUUUGAUGGACAAAAAGGAUCACUGGAGGACCGGAAGGAGACUUGUCCUCCUGCCAUUCGGAGCUCCCCUAUUGGUGAACGCGGAAGUUGGGCCAUGAGGUUCUGAAGUUCCUGCCCCUCCUCUCUCUCAAUGAAGAUUGAGCUUCACUCAGACUGCAGCUUCCUUCCUCUGUCCAACAUCUGGCCACCACAAGCCUUCUCAGUACUCUACAAGUGACUUCACCAACAUCCUGUACACCUUCAACAUGAUGUCCCAACUCCUUUAUUCAAUGGUGUGAACAAUUAAGCUACCCGAUGAAGGAGCAGCGCAUCGAAAGCUAGUGCUUCCAAAUAAAUCUGUUGGACUAUAACCCACUGUUGUGAUUUUUCAACCUUGUCCCACCUAGUCCAACAGCAGCACCUCCACCUCCUUUCUAAUGAACACAGCCCAUACCUCCCAGUGCUGCCAGUAAACUGCCGAUGAAAUGAUGCAGUGCCUGCACGCCUGAAAAGUGUAUAAUUUCUAACGAAACCAGCUACUCAUUCACUGCUCCAUCUGAUACACGACUUUGGAAACUUAGUGCAGGAGGCUGCAAGAAAUGAGCAGCUUUAAAACAAAAACCGCUUGGAGCUUUCAAUGAGAGCCUGAGCCCAGCAGUACGUUCUGGUUACCUUUAUUGUGGCCCAACAUUGUUACAGCUGCAGAUGCCCCCAGCAAAAGGGCAGAGAAAGAGUAGCUGUGUUUUAGACAGCUCAACAACAGGGGGAGGUGCAAGGGGCAGGGCAAGGCCAACAGCAGGCCCCCGCACUACGCCUGCGUUGCCUUGCACAGUUUACAAAAAUCCCUUCCCCUUCAGAGACUCCCCACAGUGUGGAAGCUGGCCACUCGACCCAAAGACUACACACCGAUCCUCCAAAGGGUAACCCACCAUGCAAUUCCCCUACCCCUAUUGCUCAACAUUUACCCCUGACUAAUGCACCUAACGUGCACAUCCCUGGGCACUAUGGGUAUUUCAGUACUGUCAAUCCACCUGAACCUGGACAACGCGUAUAUGCCAACCAGAUAUCCCAACCCAAUCUAGUCCCACCUGCCAGCACGGGGCCCAUAUUUCCCCCAGUUGCCUUUUAAAUGUUGCAAUUGUAUCAGCCUCCACCACUUCCUCUGGCAGCUCAUUCCAUACACGUACCACCCUCUAAAUGAGAAGGUUGCCCCUUAGGUCUCUUUCAUAUCUUUCCCCUCUCACCCUAAACCUAUGCCCUGUAUUUCUGGACUCUCCCAUCCCAUAGAAAAGACUUUGUCUAUCUAUCCUAUCC